rnacentral:tRNA from 1 species
CAUAGAAAUCGUCGGAAUAUUGUGACGUCUUUGGCACCGAGUCUAGCAUAGACAUGGGUG